GCAGAUUAUAAAAAUUACACAAUGAUUUAGGCAACCAUCUAAUCUCGAUGCGGUUGACACCGAGGAAGUACAGGAGCUUCAUGUUGCUGAUCGAAUUUGGCAAACCCUCGAUAUCUGUACCACUCAAAUCUAAUAUCCUCAGGCAUUUUGGAAGCAAUAGAGCAGGUAUCUGCUUCCUCCAUUCUAGAGAACCGCUUUCCCAAUAUGGAUUGUGCAAAGUUAUGAAUGCAAUGAUUCAUCACAAACGUUUGGUGGCCCAGCAAUUCAUCAAAAUACUCACAACUUAUGUCUUCUAUAGGAGGGAG
rnacentral:lncRNA from 1 species